rnacentral:lncRNA from 1 species
UUUUUUUUUUUUUUUUUGAAGCUGUUUUGUUGAAAUAACUGCUGGCAAAUUUUCAGGCUGGCUUCCAUGUUGCUUUACUAGUUCCUGAACUCUGAAGCUUUGUGUUUUACACAUUGCAGCACUUCUAAGCUGGGAGGUUUGUUGUCGUGUGUGUCUUAGCACGCACACAAUAGCCAAAGGUCUAAUUUUAAGUUGAUUUUGCCAAACGAACCAGAGCUAUAUUUAGUUUAAGCCGUGUGCCUUGCACCUCUCCGGGUUGUUAGAAGGUUUUUUUUGGGGGGAAGGGUGGGAGCAGAAAUGAGAGAAACCACAGAGGGCCUGAUCCUAACAGCCAGGCUUUGGUAUGUUGCAGAUGGACCAAAAGCUGCCAGCUUUUUGGAAGGCUGUUGGGCACUGGCCUCAGCAGUGAGCGCUGUAAAAACUCUUCCUUGUACUGGGUUAACUCCCUGUUACACAGCUUCUCCUUUAAAAAGAAAUACUGCUUAUAUUGCACUACAACACGAUCAUCAGGAUAUCCAGAACCGCUGUCGUUUUCAGGGAACUGGCGUGCUGUUGCACUGAAGAGCGGCUGCGACUGAAGGUGGGAUAUUUCGGUCCCCUUUUGCGGUUGUGCCUUAGCGCAAUAACUUCUGCCUCUUCCAGCUGGGGUGGGGAGAACCACAGCCAGAACCACAGCCCUUUCCUCAGCCAGCUGGAAAACCCUCGCGAGGGAGGAACGGUGAAAGACCUUUAGCCAAGAGGUCCCUGCACGGCCGCGAUUCCGAGGUUGCUGCAGCGCUGACGAGCCGCCCCGCAGCUGGCACAGCAGCAGCAGGCGGGGCAGCAGCGAGCCCCAGAGCCGUGACGGGCAGGAGCCCCAGCAUGGCAGGUUCCUGCCGCCACCGGCUCCGCGCCGACGUGCAGCCCAUUAGGAGCGGUGUCAGUGAAGCUGCAGAGGCAGCAACAUUCCUGGGCAGCACAGCUCACUGCUCGAGCAGCACACUUGAGCUCAGCUCACCCAAGGAGCCGGAAUAAAGGCCAGCUGGCUCCAACA